AAUUUCACACCUGGAUGUGCUCACUCAACCAAGAAUGCAAAGACAGAGUCUGCCCGACACUCAGGAAGGUUCUCUCUCUUGCUCCUGCCCGGAAUCCUCCAGGCUCCAGGGCUCCAGCAUUGCCUGCCUACUGGGA
rfam:Xenopus laevis strain J chromosome 6L, whole genome shotgun sequence.